rnacentral:rRNA from 1 species
AACGUAGGAGACAAACGUUAUCCGGAGUUACUGGGCGUAAAGGGCGUGUAGGUGGUAGAGUAAAUCUGGCGUGAAAUUUUUCGGCUUAACCGGGAAAGGUCGUUGGAUACUGCUUAACUAGAGGACGGUAGAGGCGUGUGGAAUUCCGGGUGUAGUGGUGAAAUGCGUAGAGAUCCGGAGGAAUACCAGUGGCGCAGGCGGCGCUCUGGGUCACACCUGACACUGAGAUACGAAGGCAUGGGGAGCGAACGGG